UAUUCUGCGGCUUAGUUGAUCAAAGCACUGGUCUAGCGAAUAAGGAGUCGUGGGUUCGAAUCCCACCAGAGUUU
rnacentral:tRNA from 1 species